UUAUAGCUCUGUUUAGAGUAUGUAAUGUUUUGAUAAUAUAAAUGUUUUAAGUCUUUUGUAUCAAUUCAGUAUAUUUUCUUUUAAUUGUCAAAUGAUUCUGUGUACGUUGCGGCAGCCUUUGGCUAUGUGCAAUAAAACUGACUGAGAAUGAGACACAUGGACAUUACUUAACUCAGAGCAGUGCUGAUAUACCGUAGUCAGUUAAUUACAUCAAUGGCAAUUCAGCCAUGAUCCUACUCACACCAGCUCUGGAUGAUAUGAAUAGGGCACCUGGUGAGAACUACAGUAAUACGACAAAAUUAAUAUGCAGCUUGACCUGUUUGUGACUGCACACACCUCAUUACAAAAUGUAGUCCAAAUUGAUUGGGGGAAAUGUCCAAAAUGUUCAGGGAGCCAUGCAUCUGAAGAAACAAUAAUUUUUGUUUUGCAUAGGCUUUCAACAACGUGAUGGACCCUUUAUGAAUUUUGCAAAAUUUCAAGUAGAGGGGUCAUGGUUUUACCUUCUCUCGAACAGAAGUGUAAAAAGCAAGAGAACAAAAUAGAAAAUGAGUUUUUUAAGACGCACCCCUCCAAAUUGUGGAAUGUUGGCAUCCAAAAUGCAUGUGUAAAGGGUUUUUUGCAAGAGCUACAGAACUCUAUGGCUUCUUCUUCUUUGGUGAUCACUUGUAGCCAAGUAAGAUUGUCUUCCAUGAACACAGUCUUAACAGUGAGUCCGUAAGUGACUGUGGAGGCCAAUUCUGGAUCCACACGUCCUUCCACAGAGGGGACAUAGGUUUCCAGGCAGGAGUUGAUGACGGUGAGGAUUUGCCAAACGUGCCUUCCUCUCAGAAUGUUUCUCCCUUUCCUCCUGAGUUUGAGCAUCUUCAAAGCCCAUGACACCUUCAGUAAAAGCUGUUCUCCAGUUGAAGCGCUCGCAGGCCAGUGUUUCCCAGUUGUUGGUGUUUAUACUACAUCUUUUUCUGUGGCAUCAUUCACAUUGUGGCGGUUGGUUCAGUUGGUAGAAUAGUCUUAUCCAGGGCUCUUUUGAGCUGGAACUCUGCCAUCUCUUAUAAUAGCAAUGGCUGCCAUUGCCAUUAUAAGAGAACAGGAGAGACAAGACAUCCAUGUCGAGUUCUGGCAUCUCUUUUUUUACAAAAAUAGGACUGGUUUUAACAGUUAGAGCAACAUGCAUGUUGUGUUAUGCUACUGUCUGCCUCAGAGUAUCAGUUAGUCUUUAAAUGUUAGUGAGUGUUAGAUACAUAUCUACAUAAGGUCCCAAUAUUCGAUUGGGAGCCACCCAGAGUGGCUGGGGAAACCCAGCCAGAAGGGCAGGGUACAAAUAAAUUAUUGUUAUUGUUAUAGCAUCUUAAACAUCCGCCUGCAUUGUAGAUUUUAAUCUGCAAGUGCAAGCACACUAAGUAAAAGUUAUAUGUUAUUUAAAAGUUAAAGAGAGUGUUUUGUGUCAUUUUUAAAGAAGGUGACAUUUUGUGUCAAGGGAUCUUCAGAAAAUUGUAGGUGGAUGCAGCAGGAGAUGUUGUGGUAGGCCUCUGGGUGAGCAUCUCCACUUAGGUCAUCUGCAAGGCGCUUCUAGAGACAUUCCAAGGCUAUCUGCUAUCACAUGCCAGUUCCCAGAAAACUUGCCACCAAAAUCAACUGUGCAUUUGAACGUCACAAUAUUACGUUUUAAGAACAUGAAAAAAACAAUCACAUCCAGUGCUUAUAAAGGCAGAACUGUGGCGCAGAAGUCCAGGACCCCACUCCACAAAGUGAGCAACCUAGCUCUCGAAGAAAGCAGCAUUGGCUUAUCACAUU